UGCAGAUGGCAGGACAG
rnacentral:misc_RNA from 1 species